AGUGAACGCUGGCGGUAGGCCUAACACAUGCAAGUCGAACGGCAGCACAGUAAGAGCUUGCUCUUACGGGUGGCGAGUGGCGGACGGGUGAGGAAUACAUCGGAAUCUACUUUUUCGUGGGGGAUAACGUAGGGAAACUUACGCUAAUACCGCAUACGACCUACGGGUGAAAGCAGGGGAUCUUCGGACCUUGCGCGAUUGAAUGAGCCGAUGUCGGAUUAGCUAGUUGGCGGGGUAAAGGCCCACCAAGGCGACGAUCCGUAGCUGGUCUGAGAGGAUGAUCAGCCACACUGGAACUGAGACACGGUCCAGACUCCGACGGGUGGCAGCAGUGGGGAAUAUUGGACAAUGGGCGCAAGCCUGAUCCAGCCAUACCGCGUGGGUGAAGAAGGCCUUCGGGUUGUAAAGCCCUUUUGUUGGGAAAGAAAAGCAGCAGGUUAAUACCCCGCUGUUCUGACGGUACCCAAAGAAUAAGCACCGGCUAACUUCGU
rnacentral:rRNA from 1 species